rnacentral:rRNA from 1 species
AGAGCGAACGCUGGCGGCAGGCCUAAUACAUGCAAGUCGAACGGACCCUUCGGGGUUAGUGGCGGACGGGUGAGUAACACGUGGGAACGUGCCCUUUGGUUCGGAACAACUCAGGGAAACUUGAGCUAAUACCGAAUGUGCCCUUUGGGGGAAAGAUUUAUCGCCAUUGGAGCGGCCCGCGUCUGAUUAGCUAGUUGGUGAGGUAAAGGCUCACCAAGGCGACGAUCAGUAGCUGGUCUGAGAGGAUGAUCAGCCACACUGGGACUGAGACACGGCCCAGACUCCUACGGGAGGCAGCAGUAGGGAAUCUUGCGCAAUGGGCGAAAGCCUGACGCAGCCAUGCCGCGUGAAUGAUGAAGGUCUUAGGAUUGUAAAAUUCUUUCAGCGGGGACGAUAAUGACGGUACCCGCAGAAGAACGCCCCGGCUAACUUCGUGCCAGCAGCUGC